UAAAAGUACCGACCACAACAAAACCCUUCUUGAACCCUUUCGUUGCAGAAGUAAACUCAGCAGCAAGGAUGCAAUUCCUCUUCCGCUGUCUCGCGAAACAUCCCCGCCGCAGCUACCACCGUAGCUUCAUCGACGUUGCAUCCAUCAAACACCUACGGGACCGUGGCCUAGACCAUGUAGUACAGAGAGAAAAUCACUUAAAACCAAUGAUAAACAUCAAGAAUCUCAUAAAAUCAGAGCCAUCAAAAUCACUUCCUCUCUCUGUAAUCACUCAACAUAAAGACUCACUCAAAGUCCCAAUUCGUCCAAUUGAAUUUAUCCGAAAAUACCCUUUAAUCUUCCAAGAAUUUCUCCCUGGUGGCAUAAACAUACAUCCCCAUAUUAAGCUCACUGAACAGGUACUUGACCUUGAUGCUGAAGAGCAGUUAGUUUAUGAUAGUGAGAGUUAUAAGCAAAAUGUUGCUGAUAGAGUUUUGAAGUUGUUAAUGAUUUCUAGAAUUGAUAAAAUUCCACUAAAGGUUCUUGAUGCGAUAAAAUGGGAGUUGGGUUUACCUCAAGAUUAUGUAAAAUGUUUAGUUCCUGAGUUUCCUGAUUAUUUUAGAGUUAUUGGCAAUGGAAAUCAUAAAAAUUUGGCAUGUGGGUUAAAUUCUGAUUUGGGAUUAGAGUUGGUUUGUUGGAGUAAUGAAUUGGCUGUUUCUUGCAUUGAAAAGCAAGCAGCAAAUGGAAAAAUUGAGUAUAAAAAGGGGAUGCCUCUAGCUUUUCCUAUGAAGUUUUCAAAGGGAUACGAGAUGGAUAAGCAAUUGAAGAAGUGGUCUGAUGAUUGGCAAAAGUUGCCUUAUAUUUCUCCUUAUGAGAAUGCAACACAUCUGGGGGCUAGCACUGAUGAAUCUGAUAAGUGGACAGUGGGGGUUUUGCAUGAGGUUCUUAAUCUUUUUGUAUCGAAGAAGGUGGAGAGGGAUACUUUGUUGUGUUUAGGAGAGUGCUUGGGGAUUCGGUCAAGGUUUAAGAGAGCAUUGCUUCACCAUCCGGGGAUAUUUUACUUGUCGACCAAAAUGAGAACUUAUACUGUGGUUUUGAGGGACGCCUAUAAGAGAGGACUGCUAAUUGAGAAGAGUCCACUAACGAAUAUUAGGAAUAAGUAUGUUCAUCUCAUGAACAAAGUAGAUGAGGAUCGUAAAGCAAUUAGUGUGCCUGGUGGAAACAAACAAACAGUCCAAGACUCUAUUGAGCAGGGAGAGAAAGAUGAUAAUGUUGUUGCCAUGGAUGUGAAUCAUAUGGAUUCUGAUUUCGAGGAUGAGCAUGACUCUGAAUAUGAUGAUGAUGAUGAGGAAGAAGGUGAGAGUAAGACACAUGUUCGUAGAAAUUUACCGAAUAACAGAUCAAGAAUGAUUAAGAAAAAGAAUUUUGAUGUGAGAGAAUCUUCAAGGAAUGCUGGAAGACAAAGAUUGGUGCAGAAACACCAUGGCAUUACCAAAGAGGUAGUGGCAACAAAAGCUACUGAGAGAACAGAAAUGCAAAGAGGACGCAAAUUUCCUGCUAACUCAGGAGAUAAGUUGAGUUUCCUUAAGAGAAAGGGAAAAUUAUUCACAGCAAAGAGGACAGCUACUUAACAAAGACUCAGUUUGUCUAUUAAAUUAAAAAAUGGGCAGGUUGGGCAACCUUUCUACUACUGCUUUUGUGAUGGACCUCAGAUAAAGCCAAUGAUUAAGGAUUGAGCUGAUGCCAAGUUUGUACUCUGACAUGGUUGGGCCUAUUGAAUUCGGUCAACUUGAGUUGUCCAGCGGGUCCCAUUGAUGGAACAACACAUUGAUUAGCAUAUUAUGAACUGGUCAAACUGUUGGAGACACCAGAGUAUAAUGCCAUACAGCAACCAUGUCUCAAGAAUAUGUUGCUGAUGAUUGUUCAUCACGAGAUGUGAUCCGCUCCCCCCAUGCCCCUUUUGCAAUCUCAAGAAAAGCAUCAACACUUUCUUGACCUACUUUGCCUUUGAUUUGAAGCUGCUAUUGAAAUCUCUUUUCUGUAAGUUUGGUUAUGCAAGUCUUUCCCCUUUUUGAUUCAUUGAUGUCCUCUCUCUCUCUCUCUCUCUCUCUCUCUCUCUAUCUCUCCUUCUCCCUCUCUGGCUUCGACAAGAUAGUAUAAUUCAUAAUAUCAACACAAAUUUUAAAUAUAUUCUUGUUUGUUAUUAUGUAUAUGUGGUGGUUUUGCAGUACUGCAGUCUACUGCAGCACCUUAGUCAUCAAGCAUGAUGUUUGAAACCA